rnacentral:misc_RNA from 1 species
CGCACAUUGCGCCCACUAGUAUUCUGGUGGGCAUGCCUGUUCGAGCGUCAUUUCAAACCCUUAAGCCUUGCCGCUUAGUAUUGGGGACCGCUGUAAAGCGCCCUCUAAAGAAAUUGGCGGAGUUGUUUAGGGCUCUCAGCGUAGUAAUUUUCUCGCUUUAGAGACCUGGCAGCGCUUGCCACAAGCCUUAUUUUCUCAAGGUUUGACCUCGGAUCAGGUAGGAAUACCCGCUGAACUUAA